rnacentral:rRNA from 1 species
UACAGAGGGUGCAAGCGUUAAUCGGAUUUACUGGGCGUAAAGCGUGUGUAGGUGGCUCGCUAAGUCGGUUGUGAAAUCCCUGGGCUCAACCUGGGAAUUGCAGUCGAUACUGAUGAGCUCGAGUUCGGUAGAGGGUGACGGAAUUUCCGGUGGAGCGGUGAAAUGCGUAGAGAUCGGAAAGAACACCAACGGCGAAAGCACUCUGCUGGGCCGACACUGACACUGAGAGACGAAAGCUAGGGGAGCGAAUGGG